rnacentral:misc_RNA from 1 species
GGCCGUUGUCGAUAAUACGCUAACCGAAAAAUAAUUACUCGUUUUUUACUUGACACAAAAUUUCUUAACAACGAUUAUUAUUUUGCUG